rnacentral:rRNA from 1 species
CUGAUCCAGCCAUGCCGCGUGUGUGAAGAAGGCCUUUUGGUUGUAAAACACUUUUAGGGAGGAGGAGGCUACUAAGAUUAAUACUCUUGGAUAGUGGACGUUACUCGCAGAAUAAGCACCGGCUAACUUUGUGCCAGCAGCCGCGGUAAUACAGAGGGUGCGAGCGUUAAUUGGAUUUACUGGGCGUAAAGCGUGCGUAGGCGGCUUUUUAAGUCGGAUGUGAAAUCCCCGGGCUUAACCUGGGAAUUGCCUUCGAUACUGGGAAGCUAGAGUAUGGGAGAGGAUGGUAGAAUUCCAGGUGUAGCGGUGAAAUGCGUAGAGAUCUGGAGGAAUACCGAUGGCGAAGGCAGCCAUCUGGCCUAAUACUGACGCUGAGGUACGAAAGCAUGGGGAGCAAACAGGAUUAGAUACCCUGGUAGUCCAUGCCGUAAACUAUGUCUACUAGCCGUUGGGGCCUUUGAGGCUUUAGUGGCGCAUCUAACGCGAUAAGUACACCGCCUGG